CACAGCCAGCCUCACCACCGAUUACCAGAAAGAGAGAGAAAUUUAGAAAAGGAAGGGAAGGGCUGCCAGAAAUCCGAACCCAGAAAGAAUAAUAACACCAAAUCCAACUCCUACUCCAAUCUAACUCCCCGUUCAAACAAACACGCAAUUAAGAAGAAAUCUUCAAAAUCAAUUCAAAAUUCUAUCUGCGGAACUCCAAAAUUUCGCAGAAAAAUCCAGGGGAAAGAAAGAAAUAAGAAAAGAAAAGGAGAAAGGGAAGAUGCUGCCAACUACAUCAAAGGGGCGGACGAGCUCCAAUGCCCGGCCCAAUUCUCCUUUCCCUCAUUAUCUCCGUAGAAUCGUCAAGUGGCAACAAAUGGACAUUGAAUAUACUUUCUGGCAAAUGCUACAUUUAUGCACCUCGCCAAAAGUGGUAUAUCAGCACACUAAAUAUCACAAGCAAACAAAGAAUCAAUGGGCACGUGAUGAUCCAGCAUUCGUAGUGAUAUGCAGUCUUCUUUUGGUAGUUUCCACCUCAGCUUAUUGUGCCGCGUAUGAUCAUAGUGUGGGACACGCUGUUUAUGUAGUUUUGUCAGUGUUGCUUUUUCAUCUUUUGAUGACUGGUGCAAUUUUGGCUACAUGUUGCUGGUUCUUGACCAACAAUUAUCUUCGUGAAGAAGUUCCAAACAGUCAUGUGGUGGAGCAACGAGUGGAAUGGUUGUACGCAUUUGAUGUACACUGCAACUCUUUCUUCCCAAUGUUUGUUCUGCUAUAUGUCAUACACUAUUUUUUGUCACCUCUGCUGAUAGCUCAUGGUUUCAUUCCUGUUUUGCUAUCAAACUUGCUCUUCAUGGUGGCUGCUUCCUACUAUCACUACUUGAAUUUUUUGGGUUAUGAUGGCCAUGAGAGAUUUGAUGUUGGCUAUAUUUAGUACCUGGACCUUCCAAUCAUCUAAUGGAAGAUAAACAGUACUGCCUUUCUUGGAAAGAACAACCUUCUUCCUAUACCCAAUUGGUGUCGUAAUUGUCCUCUCACCAAUCUUGAUUCUGAUUGGUUUCAAUCCGUCGAGAUAUGUCAUGAAUAUGUACUUCAGUCAGUUGGAAUAGCCACGCCUAACACUAAGAUGAUACAUGGGAGGAUCCAGCUACAAACUGAGAAGCAUGAAACGGUUGAUUAGUUCAGUAACGACCCUCUUUGAGUGAAGACAGGAUUUCUCGGACGAAGGUUCUGUAGUUCUCUGUUAAGGCCUCAUUCUGUUAAAGCGUGAAAAUUAUACUUCCAUCAAAAGGGCUCCUAAAUUGGUUGGAUGAGAAAAUUGAUGAAGUGAAGCUCUAUUCAUUCUCACAAUUUUGCUCGUUCAUUAAAAUAUCAUCCUUAGUGGAUGCUGUAGUGCAUUUUUUUGAUAAAAGUUCUUGUACAACAUCUGCGGAAAUAUAGAAUGCGUGUACUUUAGUUACAGAACUUGCACUCCACUUGCUCCUUCAUUGUCAAGGACGGAGUCUCUUGCGUCGCUUCGACAAAAGUAACCAUCCUUUGAAUUCAUUAUAGAUUUUUUAUUUCCAUUUUUGUCUCAGGCACGAAACAUGAACAUAUAUAAUCUGUAUCGCUGUGUAAAUGCUCCUGAAAUUUUGUAUUUGGACAAAACCUAUACUCCCUUUGUCCCA